AUGCCGUCCUUGGCCCUUGGCGGGAGGGUGCCUGAAAGACACACGGGACCUCCCUGGACAUGUUUUGCACCUUCCUGUGAAUCCAGUAAAAGGAUAAACAACGAUACCUGCAAACUCCAUGUGCAGAUGUACAUGCGUGUGAUUACCAUCGAACUUGACGGCGCCUGAGCCAGCCAGCCAUCGAUUCCCCCUUUCUGCCGACGUUGGUCCACUGCCCGAUGCACGCGGAGAACCUGCACUGGUGGCCCGGUGACCCAGCUCCUGGUGGCCCGGUGGUCCAGCUCCCAGGUGGCCAGGUGACCCAGCUCCCAGGUGUUUGGGUGAACCA
rnacentral:lncRNA from 12 species